AUGGCUUUCCCUCUGAUGCCUCAGCCAAUUCCUCUCUCCUUCUUGAAUUCCAGGACGAAAACAGCAACCAGAGUUCCGUGUCUGACGUCUAUCAGCUUAAGGUGGACAGCAGCACCAACUCAAGCCCCAGCCCCCAGCAGAGUGAGUCCCUGAGCCCAGCACACACCUCCGACUUCCGCACGGAUGACUCCCAGCCCCCAACCCUGGGCCAGGAGAUCCUGGAGGGUUGUUGAGGAAGAGGAAGACUCAGGUGCCCCGCCCCUGAAGCGCUUCUGUGUGGACCAACCCACAGUGCCGCAGACGGCGUUAGAAAGCUAGCACUGUCCCGGCCCUCCGCCUCCUGGCCCUGCCUCUAUUUAUUGCAUUCUGGUUCUGGCCGCGCUGCGUUGCUGGGGUAAGGGCAAGCACUGGGGUCAAGAGCCUGCACACAUGAGCCUUUCGGGCUGGAAGGCUGGCG
rnacentral:sRNA from 1 species